CGGGGGGUGGCUCAGCUUGGUAGAGCGCAGCGUUCGGGACGCUGAGGCCGUGGGUUCAAGUCCCACUCCCCCGA
rnacentral:tRNA from 1 species